UACGGAGGGUGCAAGCGUUAUCCGGAUUUACUGGGCUUAAAGGGCGCGCAGGCGGAUAUGUAAGUCAGUGGUGAAAUCUCCGGGCUUAACCCGGAAACUGCCGUUGAUACUAUAUAUCUUGAAUGCUGUGGAGGUAAGCAGAAUAUGUCAUGUAGCGGUGAAAUGCUUAGAGAUGACAUAGAAUACCUAUUGCGAAGGCAGCUUACUACGCAGAUAUUGACGCUCAUGCACGAAAGCGUGGGGAUCAAACAGG
rnacentral:rRNA from 1 species